rnacentral:misc_RNA from 1 species
UUUCUUAUUUUAUAUUUUAUUUACAUACAAUAACUAAUGUUUAAAAUGAGCCGCGGAUUAGGUAAUUGCUUACUUUCAUCCGCCAAUAGUGCACAGAGUUGGAAAAUGAAGGUUGAGCUCUCUAAUGAGACGCUCUAAUUCACUAAUGAUCCUUCCGCAGGUUCACCUACGGAAA